CCUAGGCUGGUCUUGAACUCUUGGCCUCAAGCAAUCCUUCCACUCCAGCCUCCCAAAGUGCUGGGAUUACAGUCAUGACACACUGCUCCCAGUCAGUUUUUAAGCAAAUUUAAUACCAUGACCUUGCUUAACCAUUUCUCCAAGUUAUUAAAAACACACACCCUGGUCUUUGCUCCCUUCUUAGAGGUAGAUAGAUAUCAAUGAGUUUGAGGCAGUCACUUUUUAGAGUGCGGAAUUGUAGUCUUUUGUUGCUUCAAAACUAGUUUCUCUGUGUAUCUUUAUAAGUAAAAAUAAAUGUUUAUUGAGAUAAAUAUUUUUUAAAUUAUAAAGGAUUUAUCUUUAUAGCUGUAUCUAGGAUAUAGGACUUAUAUAGUUUAUUUUCUCAACCUUUUUACCACGUACACUUUGAUUCUAGCUACUCAUAAUGAAAUACUUGGUGAGUAAACAGUUAUACUAAAUCUGGCCAUAGACUUUAUUUCAGUAAAAGGAGCUAUCAAAAUAGAAAAUUUGCCUUGCUCUGACCAUUAAUUUUAACAAACAAUCUCAAAGGUUUCAGUAACAGCCAUUAUCUUUGAAAUCUACCUUCUGUAAUUCAGUGUGAAUAGGAAAAUACAUCCUUGAUUCUGUAUCAAGUAGAUUGUUUGCUCUUUGUCUUUUAAGAAACAUACUAGGGGAAAAUGUUUUAAGUAAUUUUUCCCAGUAGUUGAUGAAGCUGACUUUUAAGCUUCAUUUUAAAACUACUGUGAUAGACUAAGGUAAAUUGUUUUUGAUAGUUACAGCAAUAUGAUUUCUUAGCAGCUGUCAAUAUAGCUUGAUUCAAAAGUUUGAACACUAAAUUACUUAUUAUAAUAAAUUGAAGAGCUUGGAAUAAUUGCAGUCUUAUCUACUCAACAAAGUAGUCUUUAGUAGCAAAAAAGUUAGCGAGAAAAAUGUCAAUACUUCAAAAGGAAAAAGUUUCAUAGUUUAUCUAGAUGGAAGUAACAUGAUAAAGAAGGGUCAAAUAUUACCAGAAUUUUUGCUGAAACUUUCAAGUUGAUAAGAUGCUGGGAAUUUGAGGAAUGUAAAUGAAGAGCAUAGUAAAUCAGAGAGAUUUAGUUUAUUUUUAACAAUAAUCACUUUCCUCCUAACCGUUGUCCACUUACGAUGUAGAACAGUACCUAACUUUGAAAACUCAGGUUGUGCUGUGAAAGAGGCAGCGUGCUAGUGACCGCGACGCUGUGUACCUCCCUCCCUGCCUGCUGUCCAGCUUUGCUCUCCAGCGUCCCGAGUCGGCGUUCGGGGUUUCCCAGCAGAAAAGCACAAAGGGCCAGAGAGGUGUAAGAACACGCAUUAUUUCACAGGUGAUUUGAAGAUAUUAAAACUAGAAAUUGGAACUGGAAAAUCCCAAGAAUUCAAGGUGCUUUUAACAUGAGAAUUACACUGAACUCAUUUGACUAUACUUAAAAGUUGAUUGCACAGUUACUGAGUCCCAGGAUUAUAGUUUCUUUUAUUUUCAAGAACCUUGUUGAUGUUAUAAAUGUAAAUCUAGACUGUUUUAUUUUUUUAUAAAAUGUUUUCUAAAUACAA